rnacentral:rRNA from 2 species
GAAUGCUGACAUAAGUAACGAUAAAGCGGGUGAAAAGCCCGCUCGCCGGAAGACCAAGGGUUCCUGUCCAACGUUAAUCGGGGCAGGGUGAGUCGACCCCUAAGGCGAGGCCGAAAGGCGUAGUCGAUGGGAAACAGGUUAAUAUUCCUGUACUUGGUGUUACUGCGAAGGGGGGACGGAGAAGGCUAUGUUAGCCGGGCGA